UACGUAGGGGGCCAGCGUUGUCCGGAAUCAUUGGGCGUAAAGCGCGCGUAGGCGGUCAGGCACGUCCGGUGUGAAAGUCAAAGGCUCAACCUUUGAAUGCCGCUGGAUACUGCUUGACUUGAGUCCGGAAGAGGCGAGUGGAAUUCCUGGUGUAGCGGUGAAAUGCGCAGAUAUCAGGAGGAACACCAAUGGCGAAGGCAGCUCGCUGGGACGGUACUGACGCUGAGACGCGAAAGCGUGGGGAGCAAACAGG
rnacentral:rRNA from 1 species